GAUGAACGCUGGCGGCGUGCCUAAUACAUGCAAGUCGAGCGAACCACUUCGGUGGUGAGCGGCGAACGGGUGAGUAACACGUAGGUGAUCUGCCCAUCAGACGGGGACAACGAUUGGAAACGAUCGCUAAUACCGGAUAGGACGAAAGUUUAAAGGUGCUUCUGGCACCGCUGAUGGAUGAGCCUGCGGCGCAUUAGCUAGUUGGUAGGGUAAAGGCCUACCAAGGCGACGAUGCGUAGCCGACCUGAGAGGGUGAACGGCCACACUGGGACUGAGAAACGGCCCAGACUCCUACGGGAGGCAGCAGUAGGGAAUCUUCGGCAAUGGGCGAAAGCCUGACCGAGCGACGCCGCGUGAAUGAUGAAGGCCUUCGGGUUGUAAAAUUCUGUUAUAAGGGAAGAACGACUUUAGUAGGAAAUGGCUAGAGUGUGACGGUACCUUAUGAGAAAGCCACGGCUAACUACGUGCCAGCCGCCGCUGUAAAAC
rnacentral:rRNA from 1 species